rnacentral:rRNA from 1 species
UACGGAGGAUCCAAGCGUUAUCCGGAAUCAUUGGGUUUAAAGGGUGCGUAGGCGGCGCGGUAAGUCGGGUGUGAAAUCUCGGAGCUUAACUCCGAAACUGCAUUCGAUACUGCCGUGCUUGAGGACUGGAGAGGAGACUGGAAUUUACGGUGUAGCGGUGAAAUGCGUAGAUAUCGGGAGGAACAUCAGUGGCGAAGGCGGCUGCCUGGCCCAAUACUGACACUCAGGUGCGACAGCGUGGGGAGCAAACAGG